rnacentral:lncRNA from 1 species
GUGAGUUAUUUAAAAUAACUUAGACACAAAAAAAAACACACACACAAAAGUGUGUUUCUGGUCGACAUUUUCACCAGACAAGGAAAGGUUCUUCUCUUGAACCCUAAAUUACAAAGAAAUGCUCAAAUCAAAGGGGAAAUCAAGCUAAAAAUUGGGGCUUUUUUUAAAUUCGUGAUCACCAAGUCAUGGGGAUCACAAGUUGAAGGAUACUCGUAUCUGAAGAUGGCGAGAGUGUAACAAGUGACAGACAUGACAGAGGAACGGUCCGAAGUACGACAAGUAGAGUAUGCUCAUGAAGGACCUAAAUCGCGUGAUGACCGCGAACAAGGUUAAUGACAUGGAAAGCCCAUUACGGCAAGCAUUACCAGUUUGACUCUUGACGAGCUAGGUGAAGCUUGGAGGAGAUGAUCAAACGGGAUAAAGACACGAGUAAGACUUGCUUGGAUGAAAGGUAAGUAAAGCUUACACCUAUUUUUUUUAUUAGCAUACGUAUUUAUUCUAUAGGUGAUAAAUACAACAAUAGAUUAUGUUCGAAUUAUGGGUUCCGACACGAAACAAAAUGGGUCGGAACGAAUAAAAACGUUUAAAAUCAUGAUUAAUGGUGAAAGAGGUAAAAUGGUAAUUUAGUCAUAAAUCGACUAAGAAUUUAUGAGUUUUCUUAAAGUUACCUCAUAGCUUAACUAAUAAUGGAAAAAGGGGUAAAAUGGUAAUUUGGUCACGUGAUGACUAAUUUAAUCGAGAUUAAAAGGAUACCCACGGCGUAAGCCGAACUGGGUCAAAUAUGUAAGAAAAAAAGGGAAAUUUUUAUGGUAAAAUCCGUAAUGGGUCGGAUGCGUGAUUGAGUAAUUAGAAACCAUGAUUUGUAAUAAAUAUAAUUGUUUGGUCGUAUAGACCAAAUGGGUCAAAUGAUGGUGAUAACAUCAUAUGACCAUAUCGACUAAUGUUGGUUGUUAAGUCAUAUGUUUACAGGAACGAAUAGCAAUUUGGAUAAUUGCGUCGUCAUAGAAUAUUGAAUUAAUAAUAGCAAGGUAUAAACGGGUCUAUACGUUGACUCGAGUGAAUAUCGAAAGUACCCGGACGAAGAUCAAGCGACGAGAAAGAACCGAACACAUGAAGAAGAAGCUUCCGCACGUUGUUUCGUCGAAUUUUUAAACGACAAACUAACUACAUUAUGUUGUUCUAAACUUUAAAUUAUAAAAUUUUUAAUAAACCCGUACUUUGUAAUGUAUAUGUGCUCUUAAUCACAUGUUUAUUAUCUUAA